AUCCAUAGCGAGGAAAGGGCUUUGAUCCGUCGCUGCAUUUGUACUGGCAGAGGCCGUCCUCGCCGCCCAGGAGGUCGAGCGCCGCGUUGAGGUAAACGUCGAUCUUGUGCACGCCGUUCCGGAUAGUUUUCAGCGUCAUCCUCCAGUCUGGGGUCUGCGGCGCCUCCUGGCUCCGGGCCGCCGGCGGCCGCGGGCCCACCCAGGCACCCGCCAUCAGCAGCGGCAGCAGCAGCAGGGCGCGGGCCAUGCCCGAGGAGCCGCGCCCCGCGCCGCCGGGCGCUCGCUAAGCCCCCGCCGCGCGGCCGCAGCGCUCCGCACGCACGGCCCGGCCCGCCGCCAUCGGCCCCGCGGGCGCCGCCCCUACGGCUGGGCGGGACUGCGAGCAGGGCGCGGCCUGUUGGAGAAGGCGGCCGGCGUCCGCUCCUGGCCCGGCGCUGCGGUGUGGGGUGCUGGGAGCGGAGCUGCUCCGGGAUCUUUCCACGUGCGAGCGAUUCGCUUUCAGGUGAGGCAGGGUGGAACCACACGGGAAUCGUUCUAAUUUCUGCAACGAAAGCCUUGUUUUAAGACGUGUGGAAUUCCUCAAAAGACGGACAGAGGGAUUUUAGGACACAGGUAACUGCAGGGGACGGGAAAUAUAAAGAACAUGGAAAGGCUUCCGGAUCUGCAGGCGGGCGCGAAAGUACCCGGUAAAUGCUGCUGCGUGUUUGGGCUUUUGUUUGUUUGUUUUUCCUCUCCAGUCUUUGCCGUUCAUUAUUGUUAACUGGAGAAACAGUAGGAAAAGCUGUUAGCAGAUGUUGUCUGCUAACAGACAGAAGAGGGAGCUCUUGCCGCGCCUACCCUGGGAAGUGCCCGUCCCUGCGGCUGCUGUACGGAAGCCCUCCUUCGGCAGAGCAGUUCCAGGGAAGGGGCGUGGAACGAAAGCGGUCUCUACUCUUACUUUGCUUGGAGGUGACUGACAGGGCCUUACUUGCCAAAUUCAUGCUGAUGCGGCUCCAUGCUCAGCGGAGGAUGAAGUCAGUGAAAAUGUAAAAAUGUUGCCUGAAGCAAAUAAUGGUGUCUUAUUAAAAACCAAACUCCAGGCAAGCCCUCAGACUCAGAGAACCCACCCUUUUUCCCUCAACAUCCUUGCGUGAGCGUAUGCUAUUGAGUUGGUGGGACAGCUGAUUGAGAGGGAUGAAGUAAAAAUAGGUGUUCAAACACUUGUAAAUUGGAAUCCAGCAAACUGUUACAGAGCUGUUGCACAGUUUGACAGGACUGAAAUGGUCCUGAAGUCAUUUGUACCAAUCCAAAAGCCAACUACUGGCUUUUAAAAAAGAGCCAGAACUUUCCUAGUGGACUCAGGGCCUGCCCUACCUACCACAUCAUUCUGCUUUUGGGUAACUUUCUGAAUCACUGCAUGGCCAAACUGCCUGUGACUGCACAGCACAGGAUCAGGCCCCUGUAAGGGUGUGUUUUUUUUCUUUGUGUCACUGUUUUGUGCUUGUGUCUGUUGGUGCAGGAAGCUUCUGCUCGAGUAGUUGAGUGAUUUAAACAAAUCUCACGAUCGUGUUCAGUCCAUCAGUUAACACACGGUCUGAAGUUCUGUUUCUCAGUAAGCCUAAAGGAUCAUCAGCCCAGCAAAGCGGCAUCCUGAGGGUUUCUAAUGACCUACCCCCCAGUAUGAUGGAACUGCUUUUACAUUCUCUGGUUGCUGUCCUUUCUGUAACGUUCACAUAUUGCCAGUGCAGUUGUUUUCCAACCACUGCUUUCAGUAUGGUUGUCCAUUUAAAAUAAACAGUUACUACUGAAAUGUGGUGUGCAAUGUGGGGAGAGGGAAAAGAAAUAGCAACAACAAAAGGACAGAUGCUUGAAUUUCCCUGCAGUAAACAUGGUUUUAUUAGAUAAUUUUGCUGUGGACUUACAUGACUGCAAAACUCUUUUGUACAGACUUCUGUAAAAUUGUAGUAUUUGUAGAGAGCUGAACGUUUUCAAACUACAUUAUUUCAUGAUUUAUACUAAUAGUUGCUAAGGCACAUGGCUGCUAUAGUAAAAAUGGACUAGUGUUCAUUUCUGCAUGGAUGGUAACAAGUGUUUAGUUUGCUGAGCUUCAGAUAUUAUACCGUGAAAUGAGACUCCUUGACACAUGGUGGCUAAUCCAGUCGUAAUAGCUGGCUACUUGUGUGUAGACGCCGGGGUGACCGGCCUCCCCACAGUUUUCACCCCAACUCACAACACCCCAGACAUAAGCCACAUUUUCUGCAUCAAAGCAAACCAGGGGACCUCCUGAAUCACCUUUGCAGCUGUCAAUGGAGCCAUCGUAAGUACCUGCGGCAAAAGAGGGUGGGGGAACAACAACAACUCAAAAGUAAGUUUAUAUGCAAGCUAGCACACAAAGUAGAGCUCAGGAGGCUUUUUAGAUCCAUGUCACUUCCUGACAGGUGUCUGCCUAGCAGUCACUACUACUGGAAGUUCCCAGUCUCUUUGGUCUACUAUUUCUUAAUUAUUUUGAAGUGCAGCCCCCCCUCUUUACAAUUUUGGCUGGCCCAAAAGCUCAUUUGCUUUCACGUCAGGAAUGUGAUUCUUCUUGUGACAGAGAAGAAUUCAGACAUAUUGUAUAUUAUAUCAUUAGAAGUAGCUUAUAAAAAGGGGACAGAAGGUAGAAGAAAAGGGUAAGAAGAUUAGUGGACCGAUCCCUCUGGAAAUUAAGCUAUUAUAAUAUGCAUGUUCCUCUACAUCUGCUAUUGAUGUUCUCUCUACCUAGUAGUACAUUGGCCAAUUUGAUCUGAGCUACGCAGAAGUAGAAACCUCAAAAUUAAUUUCUCUGCAGGCUUUAUGGCAAAAGGUGGGCAGAUCCAAGGAUAGUACAUGAAUGAUGGGAUACAAGAGAGUGUAACUGUCUUUAACUGAGCCCUUGCAGAUAUGGCACUUGAAGUGUGGACCUUCUGGAGCACCAGGUGACAGCUCUGAGACAUAAACAUAUGGGCUGUGGUGCUCUCUACAAGUUUCUGGGGUUUUGAAGCUACUUGUUUCCAACUUAGCAAAUGUAGUGGUUGUAAUAAAUAAAUAAAGAUGAAAGAAUAUGAUAUAGGCAAAAACUUGCUAGAGAGUUGGAAUACAAUUUAUCCUUUGUCCCACAGACUCAGUAGAAGUGUGUAAAGACAUCUUUAUGUCCUUCUUUAUACUCGGUUGAUCCACCUAGUUUGAAGGAACCCAUACUAAGCAAGGCUCCCCACGUUUUUAAACAUGUAACCUCUUUCUUGAGUCUCUACAUCACUGAGAAAGAGUUCUGUGAAUGUUUCAGGAUUGGAAAGACCAAUUCUAUAAAACUAGAUUUUGUUCCCCAUACUCAGUUGAAUUAACGUUACCUUCUAUCAGUAGUUCCAGCAGAUACCAGUCCUUAAUUCCAAAAUUUGUAUCUGCAUUCACGUUGUACUGAAUUUAUUCACAAAUGGUUAAGUUUUUAUAUCCAGUUUUAAUUUGUCUUGUUAUGUACUUUGUUUAAAUACUGCCUUCACUUCAGAGUUAAAGAACAGUUGAAACUAUCUGUCCUGUAAGUUGAAAACUCAUUGCUCUUUAAGACAUGUGUUUGGCAAUACCUUUUGUUACUUGAAAAGCAAAAAUGUGUACUCAAAAUGCUUAUUUUAGUAUUAGGAAUGACAACCAGUUUCCUGGCCAGACUAAUCUUUGUUUGAAAAGUUUAUAGUAUUUUUCCUGGGGUGUGGUUUAGUGGUAGAAAAUAUCUCAGCAGAUGAAUAGUCACAUGCUAGUCAAUAGGACUGUGAAUGUGCUCCAAAAAAGGCAUUUGCUUUAAUAUGUUCCUGAAGCAGAAUGAAAUAGAGGUAGGAGGAAGUUCAGUGGGCUGUAAUCUGCUUGUGUGUUUAGAAAACAUGACUCCAACUGUGUGCUGAAAUUUGCUUACAGUCACUGAAACUUGGCAUUCUGUCACCAUAACUGUUUAUAAUUAGAUAGAUAACAACAGAUGACUGUAGACUCCAGUGGCUAGUGCUUUGCUAAUGACAAUGCCGUUGCAUUUGGUUUCUUGCAUUUUCCAAGUCUAAAAGAUUCCCAGCCUGUAUGUCAGUCCUUAGCAACGGUGGGCAUGAUGGUAAAGUUAUAGUAAGAAAAUUCAUACUUGCCUGCACAUGCCAUUUUUUGAAAGAAUCGUCCUGGAUACAUUUCAGAACAAUUCUGAAAUAAAUUAACAUUUCCCCAUUUGAGCACAUAUUGUUUGGUAUAACCUAGAAAAGAAAAUGAUAAACUUUUCUAAAUUUAAACUGAUAAAUGUGUAUGAAACACUUUUAAUAUCAUAAUAUGAAAGUUAUAGAUUUGCUAAUCUACUGAAUUUAAUCUUAGAUAUUAUAAACCAGGUACCUUAAACUGCUGCUAACACUUGCCCCACAUCCACUGCCCAUAUGUUUCAAAAUCAAAGCAGAGUGGUUAAAUUGCAGUAUUAAAUGCAGUAGUUUCAUUUUUUUGUAAUUUUUACUCCUUCCCUUUGUUACUUUCUUCAAUUUUUUCCAUGUUUUCCAUAUCAGGGUUUCCAGACACUGGGAGACCAGUAUAUUGUUUUCUGUGAAAUGGAGAAACGCCUCUGAUCAUCCUUGUUACUUCUUUCUCAGAAAGAUGAGAGGACUGGAACUUGCAGAUACAGUCCCCAUCCAGAAACCUUGCAUUUAUCGCCAGCCUUGAACAUAUGCUCUGACCAGGGGACGCAGGCAGGUGUGCUGUAUUUCAAGGAGCACUCUCCUUUUCCAUGACCUUUCAGCUCCAGCAGAGCGAUGUCAUUUUCAUAAGUUGCAGCAUCAUACUUCUCAUGGAUUAUCAGUUGCUUUAGUCUGUAAGUGUCUGUCUCUCUGUCAUACUGUAUUGUAUCCAACAGCCCAAUCCAGACACGGUAUUGAUGAACUCGAGUUGCUCUGGAAAAGGAGCCAAUGAAAUAUGUUUUGGUACCUCACACAAGCACUGUAUGUUUCAAUUACUCAUAAAUUUUUGCAUUUUAUCAAAGUUUAUGUGGAAUAAAUAUUCAUAUUAUACACGUAUAGUUUCUUUCUGGACUUGUAUGUCGCAGUUGUUCUGAAGGAGGUAGAAGGCUGGUGACACUUAUUGCUGAGUCCUGAAGCUAAUACAGAAAGACAGUACUAAAGGCCAGUGUGUUUAGUGCCCUCACAAAGAGAAAGCAAAGCUUAUGUCUCUGAUAUCAGAUGAAAGAAGAAUGGGCAAAUACACAUGGAACACUGGGCUCGGCAGGUCUUUCCUGCCCACUCCUGCUGGCUCUGGGGAAUAGGUGGCACCAGGGACAUUCUUGGGGGACAGGCACUAGACCUCCCCAGUGCUGAGAGGAGGUAAUUCGUAAUUACUUUUUUGCUCACUGACAAAAUGCUUUGUCUUUGAAUCCCUCCCACUGUUAAUGUGAGCAAAUCAGUGAUUUUAGUUGUGUUAUUGAAUGGGCAAGUAAGAAUUAGCAACCAAGUAGCCGAGAAGAGCAAUAAUGCACAGAUUCAUCUUUUCUACUUUGCAAAGAAAUCAUUUCUCAGGUUGUUGCUUUUACCUGACACAGUGUGCAGCAGUCAGAACCCAACAGCCACCAAUAUAAACCCCUCCACAGUACACUGUUGCACCUUCAGUGCCAGUGUCUUUAAUUGCCACUUGCCAAGGGAAUUCACCCUAUUAAAAUGACAGAAACCCAAAUAAUAUGAAAUCAUCAUUGUGCUAUUUUUUGUGCAUAAAGGGAAACACAAUAUCACUUCAUCUCCUUGACUUAAUCUGCUAUUAAGAAGUUGUCUGUAAUCUGGGCUCUGACAUAAAAGCUCUGUAUUCUAAACUACAGUAACGUUGUUGUCUUCUGACAUUAUGCAGUGUCUCCCUCCCCGCAGCUUUCUGUCAGGAAACUCCUAAAAAAACCAGAUGGAGGAUCUGACCUGUCUCUAAAGCGAUAGACUGCUCUCCUCUACCAGGAAACACCAGAAAUUCCCCCUCCUGCCCCGUCAAUCUUUUGGAGCUUUCUAAAGCCCAAAGGAGCAUUAGGUAAGAAGAUCAUUCCCCUGGUGUGAUUUUCACUCUUCCUGGUCACCCACAAGCUAUACUCUUCAAAAAUCAGCUGAAGUGCACAACAGAUGAUAAACAUUUCAAGCCAGUGGUUUAUAGCACACCACAACAAUGGAACUGUGAGCAAAUUAAAAUAUAAGGGGACUUCACAGAAUCACACAGAAUGGCCUGGGUUGGAAGGGACUUCAAGGAUCAUGAAUCUCCAACCCACCCCCCUGCCCCCCCGGCACUGGCAGGGCCACCAACCUCUACAUUUAAUACUAGAGCAGGCUGCCAAGAGCCCCGUCCAGCCUAGCCUUGAACACCUCCACGGAUGGGGGAUCCACAACCUCUCUGGGCAGCCUGUUCCAGCACCUUACCACUCUCACAGUAAAGAACUUGCCCCUGACAUCCAACCUAAAUCUUCCCUCCUUCAACUUAAAACCAUUUCCCCUUGUCCUGCUAUUAUCUCCCCUUUCAAAGAAUUGACUCCCCUAACUUGGCUUAAACACCAGAAAAAUGAAAUUAAAAAAAAAAGAGUAGCAACUUGAUUUUUUUUCAAGACCUUUUUAUUGUCCCAGUUGACCCAGUUGACAUAACUAUAGCCAAUAACUACUUAGAAACAAAUAAAUCUAAAAUUGAAGAUGUGUUUCAUUGCAAGUAACAAGUAUUAAGUAUCUUCAACAAAUGUGAAAAUUAAGUGCCCUUCCCAGUCUGUUUUGUUCCCAUAUCUUGGAUGGCAGUGGGUUUGCAGUGUGGUUUCUGGUUGUUGUGGACUGCAAGGAGUGCUCCUUAUCCCUCCAUCUGACCAUCUGUCUCUAGGUGAGUGAUAACACCUAUCCUGGCAGCUCUCUGGUUAUUCCAUUGCUGGCUGAGUGCUUUUGCUCACUAAGAUGUGUGUGCAGGGGGAAUGUUGAAAUGUGAAAAAUAUGUAGCUAGACUUUGCAUAAAGAUGAGAAAGAAAUGUCAGUUGUCAGAUCGGAUUUAUCGGCUUUGAGUGCAUCCACUGAAUCAACAGAGCCAAAGUUUAAAGUUCUCGUGAAGAAAUCCUGGCCUAAGUAAAGGCAGUGGGAAUGUCGCCAGGGCUGAAUUUAUUCCGAGCCCCUCCCACCCUUUUAAGGGCUGUAUAAUCUUAAUAAAUUCUUCCUGUUCUUCUCAGGUCAGUAGAAUCCUAUGCAUUAUCUUUAGAUUUACAUACCAAACUCUGAGCCAGGCCCGGCUUGGCAUAACUCCUGUAUUGCACUAGAUGUUUCUCUUUAGCUCUGACAGAAUAGCAACAAAAGGGGCUGAUCUUUACCUACGGGUUUUUCUUGGAAAGCUCAGGCUAUGCUGAACAUGGAGCCCAUCAGGACUCCUUGAGAGGCUUUUGCCAGAAGAGAUUUUACAACAAAAGCUUUCUGAGCUGAGCCACACUUGCAGGUUGGGUUUAGCAUAGCAUCCCGAUUAAAAGAUUUUCCAAAAGGCUGUUAAUGUAAACCUCAGAUAGAACCGAUAUACAGAGGAGAAACAGCAAGAUUCACAUUUUCAAGCUGGACUAAAACAAAUGUACGAAAUGCAGAUGCUGCAAAAGGAAAUUAAAAAAGACUUUGUUUUUAUAAUAAUAAAUUGUUUUAACUGUUUGCUGUUGGUUGGUUUGUUUUUAAAAUAAGGGGAUACCACAAUAAAAUAAGUUCUUACCUGUGCUCGACAGAAAGAAAAGAGAGAGAAGCAAACCAAGAGAACUGCAACCACUCUCAUGAUGAGGUUUUAUGUCUUUGUAGAGAAAUUCCCCUGGCCGGGACUUUCCCAAUUGCCAGUCGUUAGGUUUGUGUUUAAUUUUUAACCUUUGGUAAAACACUCUGAAGUGGACUCAGAAACAACUACGGGAGCCUUAGAUAUCAACGGAUGAGUCUGCUCUCUCCACACGGAUCCCACCCCAUUUAACCUGUUUUACUGUAAAUAGAGACCAAAGGGAAGCCCUUGAAGCCAACGGUUACAAGGGAGUGCUCAGCAGGGUCUCUCGCUCCCCGCCUGCUGCCAACGCAGACCGAUGGAGCCGCGGGCCGAUCUCCUGGCAGCAGGCACCCCGCUCUGCAGGGAGCUGUUAGGGCAGGUGCGUUCUUAGGUGAGAUACGUGUGUCUGUAUGCAGGCAGGCAAACGGAACGGAUCAACUCCACUAUCUCCGUGCGAGAGCGUAACCGGCGGAGCCUUGCUCAGAGAACUGUUGGGGCAGUGGCCAAUCCACUGCAUCCCACCUGCGGGCGGUUUCCGGGAGAACCGCGGUCUCGGCCGGCACAACGGAACGGCUCCUGCGA
rnacentral:lncRNA from 1 species